rnacentral:misc_RNA from 1 species
AAAGUCGUAACAAGGUUUCCGUAGGUGAACCUGCGGAAGGAUCAUCACCGAGUCCACUAUCCACAAACCGUGUGAACUGUAUGUUGAGAGCAUUUGGCAGGAAGGCGGUUGGCGGCUAGUCGAGCGCCGUGUCUCUCUUCCCUUGCGGGGGGAGCGCCUGCCACAUGCUUGCAUUUUAAACAAACUUUUAAACCGUGAAUAUUUGAACUGAAACAACACAUUUAACCAAAACAACUUUCAACAAUGGAUCUCUUGGCUCUC